UACGUAGGGUGCGAGCGUUAAUCGGAAUUACUGGGCGUAAAGCGUGCGCAGGCGGUUUUGUAAGCCAGAUGUGAAAGCCCCGGGCUUAACCUGGGAAUGGCAUUUGGGACUGCAAGGCUGGAGUGUGGCAGAGGAGACUGGAAUUCCUGGUGUAGCAGUGAAAUGCGUAGAUAUCAGGAGGAAUACCGAUGGCGAAGGCAGGUCUCUGGGCUGACACUGACGCUCAUGCCCGAAAGCGUGGGGAGCAAACAGG
rnacentral:rRNA from 1 species